UUGAUUAAUAAAAACAAUUUUUAUAAUUAAAUUAAUUUAUUUGGGGAAAAGAUAAAUCAGUUUAUUUUAAUUGAACAUUGAUCUAAUUUUAAUUCAAGGAAAAAAUWACUCUAGGGAUAACAGCGUUAUCACUUUUAAAGUUCUUAUUUAAUGAGUGGGUUGCGACCUCGAUGUUGAAUUAAAUAAAAAUUAAAAAGCAGUUAUUUUAAUUUAUUGACUGUUCGUCAAGCCGAUAUUU
rnacentral:rRNA from 1 species